rnacentral:rRNA from 1 species
ACUAACAAGGAUUCCCCUAGUAACUGCGAGUGAAGCGGGAAAAGCUCAAAUUUAAAAUCUGGCAGUCUUUGGCUGUCCGAGUUGUAAUCUAGAGAAGUAUUAUCCGCGCUGGACCGUGUACAAGUCUCCUGGAAUGGAGCGUCAUAGAGGGUGAGAAUCCCGUCUUUGACACGGACUGCCAGGGCUUUGUGAUAUGCUCUCAAAGAGUCGAGUUGUUUGGGAAUGCAGCUCAAAAUGGGUGGUAAAUUCCAUCUAAAGCUAAAUAUUGGCGAGAGACCGAUAGCGAACAAGUACCGUGAGGGAAAGAUGAAAAGAACUUUGGAAAGAGAGUUAAACAGUACGUGAAAUUGCUGAAAGGGAAACGCUUGAAGUCAGUCGCGUUGGCCAGGGAUCAACCUUGCUUUUGCUUGGCUUACUUUCUGGUCGAUGGGUCAGCAUCAAUUUUGACUGGUGGAAAAAGUUCAAGGGAAUGUGGCAUCUUCGGAUGUGUUAUAGCCUUUGUUCACAUACAUUGGUUGGGAUUGAGGAACUCAGCACGCCGCAAGGCCGGGUUUUUAACCACGUACGUGCUUAGGAUGCUGGCAUAAUGGCUUUAAUCGACCCGUCUUGAAACACGGACCAAGGAGUCUAACAUGCCUGCGAGUAUUUGGGUGAAAAACCCGAGUGCGUAAUGAAAGUGAAAGUUGAGAUCCCUGUCGUGGGGAGCAUUGACGCCCGGAUCUGACCUUUUGUGACGAUUCUGCGGUAGAGCAUGUAUGUUGGGACCCGAAAGAUGGUGAACUAUGCCUGAAUAGGGUGAAGCCAGAGGAAACUCUGGUGGAGGCUCGUAGCGAUUCUGACGUGCAAAUCGAUCGUCAAAUUUGGGUAUAGGGGCGAAAGACUAAUCGAACCAUCUAGUAGCUGGU